AUUGAACGCUGGCGGCAGGCCUAACACAUGCAAGUCGAACGAGUGGCGGACGGGUGAGUAAUGUCUGGGAAACUGCCUGAUGGAGGGGGAUAAAUACUGGAAACGGUAGCUAAUACCGCAUACCAUCGGAUGUGCCCAGAUGGGAUUAGCUAGUAGGUGGGGUAAAGGCUAACCUAGGCGACGAUCCCUAGCGGGUCUGAGAGGAUGACAAGCCACAUUGGAACUGAGACACGGUCCAGACUCCUACGGGAGGCAGCAGUGGGGAAGAUGGCACAAUGGGCGCAAGCCUGAUACAGCCAUGCCGCGUGUAUGAAGAAGGCCUUCGGGUUGUAAAGUACUUUCGGCGGUGAGGCGUUACCCGCAGAAGAAGCACCGGCUAACUCCGUGCCAGCAGCCGCGGUAAUUC
rnacentral:rRNA from 1 species